GCGAGUGUAGCUCAGGCGGUAGAGCACGUCCUUUCUAGGACGAUGGCAGGGGUUCAAAUCCUCUCACUCGCUACA
rnacentral:tRNA from 1 species